AAACAGUACCGGGGGCGGGCCGAGCGACGCAGCCGGGACGGUAGCUGCGGUGCGGACCGGAGGAGCCAUCUUGUCUCGUCGCCGGGGAGUCAGGCCCCUAACUCGAAGAAGCCCUGGCGCGCCCUCCCCCCCUCCCCGGUCUGGUAGGGCGACGGAGCGGGCGCGCGGUCGAUCGAGCGAUCGGUUGGCGGCUCUUUCUCCUGCUCUGGCAUCCAGCUCUUGGGGCGCAGGCCCGGCCGCCGCGGCGCGCGCCCGGUGGCCGUUGGCGCUCGCGCCGAGUCUUUCUUCUCGUCCGCAGGACUCGGGCGGCGGCCUAUGCGUUUGCGAUCCGACGAGGAGUCGUCCGGGUGGUUGGCGGUGGCGGGCAGCUGCUCCGCCCCGCUCCCGGGGAGGCGGCGGCGGGACUUGGCGCGGCCGGGGAAGCGGGGGCGGCCGGGGCCGGCCUGGAGGCCUGGCGCCACCCUUCGGGGCCUGCAAGGACCCAGUUGGAGGGACAGGAAGGGGCUGGGGGAUGGUUGGUGGUGGGCUUUCUACUUUGCCUUUUCCUCCUUAUGCCGCCUUAGUGAGAGGCGGGAGCCCUGGCGGCAGCUCCGGGCCGGGAAACGGGCUCCGGAGUCGGAAGAGCUGGGUUUGCUUCCGGGCCUAGCCACCAGCUGGCCGAGUGACCUUAGGCAAGUCCCUCUGUAAUCUGCGCCUCAGUUUCCUCCUCUGUCGAUGUUUGUGGGAUUAAAAGCGCUUUGUAAAGCGUCAGUGUACAUAAGGGAUCAUUAUUAUUUGUAAAAUUUUCUGAUUUGUAAGAAAACAGCCAUUGCCCAAUCCAUCGAUUUUUUGAACCUAGGAACCUUGGAUUGGAGUUGGAAAUCCCCAAACUCCCCGAAAUUGUAUGCAGAAAUUAGUGGGAAUGUGCAUUUUAGGGGGAUGAGGAUCCAUCGCCAACAAGGUUUCAAGGGAGAUGUCACCCCCAAAGAGUUAACCACAAUCUCUCUAUGCCACAGGGGGGAAACUGAGGCCUAGAUGCCAUUUGAGAUCCUUCACAACCAAUUUGAAGCCCCUGUUUGAAUCCCUGGGAUAUGUGAGCUUUUCUGUGCAUAAUGGAUUAUUGGGGUAACAACACUCCACUGCUUGGCUUUUUUCCUGAGUCCUUUCCUUUCCCCAUGGGGGGGUGCCCGAAGGGUGGCUAAUGCAUAUGGUACAGUGGCAUCCAGUAUAAAGCAGCUGAAACUAGGAGUGGAUAUGUUCUCUGGAAUCAAGAAGCCUAUUUAAUCUUUGGCCCAUUAACUGUGUUGCUGCUGAUACUGGUGCCUGACUACCUUUCUGACUCUUUCAUUGACCAUUUUUCACGACCAUGUUUGCCAUCUGUUACUUGCUCCUAUUUUAUACCCCUAGUCUAUGUGGUUGGUAGUGAGCAGGCUUAUUUUUAAAUGGUGCUGCCAAGUCUAGCUAAUUAAUGGUGCAGGUGGAUUUUUCGGAAGCUGGCUAACGAACAGACUGAUCCAGGCAUGGAAUUCCUGAAGAUGUUGGGGGGUUAUCUUUAUUAAUUGAAGGUUAACAUUUUCUGAAAAAUUGCGUUUGAACCUGUGCUGAACCUCAGAAUCAGUAGAUUUGGAAGUUUUCCCAAGCUUAACUUUUUCCUGGACUGCUUUGUAUUCUAUUUGCUUGCAAGUGUGUUGCUAAGGUGGCCAAAAAUGCCAGUUUUUUGCUUCUUUGUUAAUUGUCAGCUGCUUUUACCCAGCAAACACUAUAGAAAUGUUUGAACAGUUGGAUUUCAAACAUUUUUGUUUUGUGGAGUGGUGCAACUCUAAGCAAACGAACACACACGAUUAAGUGUAUUUUGUCUGGUUAGGUGUUACCCGGUUCUGCUAUUGCAUACAACUGUCUGAAAAAAAAUAUCAGUUGACUGUUCCCUUUACCUAAAGGGCAGAGACAGAUGAUCUCACUUCCAGAGAAAUAACUUAUUUGGGGGGAAAUGUGUUGGUCUUUUGUAAUAAAACCUGGAUGUACUGCAAACGAAUCUUGAUUGUGGUGAGAAGAUGCUUUUCUCAGCAGAAAAGAGGGACACAAACAUCUGGAACUCAAAAGCUUGAAAUUCUGUGACAAAACACGAGAUGUCCAGGAUAGAGGGUUGAAAGGGUUUCACUACAGUGUUUCGCACUAGCUGGAGCCGAUGCCCAUUAGUAGCCACGGCAUGGACUCCAGAUUUGCAAGACCUGGGACCUCGAUGCGUUUAUGAGGAUGUGACAGGAACUCUGGAGCUGGAUAUGUUUACUUUGGGGACUAUUGACCUCGCUUUCAGAAGAGAGACGACAACUAACCAAGCAAUGCCACUAGCGCUGUUACUGGGAAUUUGAAGACCUGAGUUUCUGCCAGACCUCAGUGCAAACUCUGAUGACACUGCAUCCAAAGUGAACUACGAUAGCAAGCCCCUUGGAAAAAAAGGGUCUUCGAAUCUUUGCCCACACAUACUACCACAUGUGAUGAAGCUUUUAAUAGAAAAGAGGAAUUCAGAGAGCAGGCUAUCCCAGAAUGAGCAUUCACCUACAGAUUUGGUACCUGGAUUUCUGUCCAUGGUGAUUUCUGUCACCUUACUACUGAAGAAGAUACCAUUCCAGUGGACCACUGUGACCCAAGGGACAUUCAACCAUCAUGAUGUGGUCUUCACCUCCAUUCCUGUCCUCCUCUACCCAGAUUGAGCACCAUCCUUUAUGUGAAGUCAAACUCCUCAAGCCAAAUAGCUGGAACUGUUUCAUCACAACAGAGGCUCAGUUUGUUCCAUGAGUGUGUAUUUUGUUUCUUCAGUUAAAGCCUUCAGAGACACAUAAUAAAUUUGGACCCAGGGGAUUCUUAGUUCUCAACAUUGUCUGGAGAAUGGUAACAUCUUGAGAACAACAUUGGACCACAACCCACAAUCUCAAAUGUUUAUGAAGUUUUGAGGAUCCCAUGCAGGUCACUGGACGCUAUUCUUUUUCCACGUCAAAUCUGUAGUAUCCUACUGAAUGAGAAAGCAGAUAUUCUGACCCAUUGGGAUUAAAACAAAGGCCUAGUGAAGUCCUCAUAGCAUCUUUGGGAUUAUUCAGGAACCAGAACUUUUCACACAAAUGUAAGGAAUUUUACAAAGGAAUCCUUUACCCAGCAUCUCACAAAGCUUCAAUCAGAUUCCAGAAAAGGCCACUUGAGACAUCCAGGUAGAACCUAUAUGCAUUUUGUGAACAACUUAUUCUUAGAUCAUUGGUUUUCCAAAGGCUUUGUGGCCAUGAAGCCCUUUGGACGAAAACUGUGUGGAAGCCCAAAGUAAAAGUGAAGUUGCUCUGGACGAAGCAGAGUGGGGGUCCUGAAAUCUGCCACAAGCAUCUUCCUUUAUCGCCAUGGUGACACCUAAGGAGAGACUUCUUUACAGCACCUAGAAUUCUUCAGAGCACAUUUUGAAAAAACAGUGCUCUAGACAACAAUAUGUUCGACCUGAAUGAUAUUCUGAUCUGUACCUCUAGCCAACACAGUCCAUGUUCAGUUGGUGCUGAACAUUCUUAGGAAUACUUACUAUGGACAAACACAGAAAAGUGCAAGAACUUUGCCCCUAAGUAGUUAUAUGGGCCAAAAGUGUAUCAAAUGAACCUAAAUUAAUCAUGCUCUACCCCCAUAUGGACUUACAGUAAUUCCUGGGUUUGGAUAUAGACAGUAAAUCAUAUGUACUCUACACCAACAAACCCCCUUACCCAACUUCUUUCACAAACACCAGAUGCUCUAGUGGUACUUGAAUACGUGAAUCUGAAGUCUUGAUCCUCCUUGGAUACCUGAAUUGCCAGGUAUUGAAACUGAUGCCUCAUUGAGGCCAUAGUAGACCAACUUGUUCAUCGGACCUCCCAUCAUCAACCAUGGUACUCUACUUCAUGUGCAAGGGAUAACCAUUAACUAUGAAAGCAGAAUUCAAAUUCUGGCAACGUUAACUAAAAGGGUACCUGGUUUUAUCAUUCAUCUUAUUCUCAAACUACAAGUCACUAUGACUCAAUCAGUGGCAGUAAUACUACUGCUUGGUUUUUAUUUACUUUUAACUGCUGUUUCCAGGUUAAAUGAGCUAAUAACAUUUAAUAAGCUAAAAUAAUUCCUCCACCAUCGGCAUAUCUGCUUGGCAUAUUCUGCUCUAAAAUUAUGAAUACUCUGCUCUAACUACAUGUAAGACCUGAUCCACAGGAGACCAUCUUUGAACAUCUUUUCUGAUGUGAUUUAAAAUGUGGCCAUUUGGGAAGUUUUCUUCUAGCCAGUGAAUGUUUUUCCUUUAAGAUGGGUCUUGAUGUCUAGUACCAUCAACUGUAGAUAUUAGGGAUAUUUUGAGGUAGGCACUUGCUGAGAAUCUCAAAUUGUGUAUAAUCUUUUUGCUGGAAAUGUAGACUGACUUGAAAGAAAAUCUACAAAUCCUUCAGCUAAGGAUUUUGUCAGUAAACUCAAGCUUCCUGUUGUGCUUCCUAAUGUCACAAGACCACAGUCCCUUGUCCUUGUGGAUAUGUUCAUAGAAUUUUACCUGUCUACUGUUUUAACACUGAUUCAGAGUGGCCACCUUCAUUCCUCAGGCAUUGAGACAACUUACCUGUUUCUGCAGGAAGGAUUCAGUUUGUGAACUUCCAGACCAAAUCAUGUUAAACAAGUAGACUUUGAAAUCUUAUUUACUUCACAGUUGACUUAAGGGCCAGAUGUCCUCAACUACUUUAACGAAUGCACUGGUUAAAUGUUGGGAAUGGUUUCUUUAUAUGUCUCUUAUCCACUAGACUAAUUAUGAGAACAUGACUUAGUCUUCAAAUCAUCAAUCUAGGCCUAAGCCUGGUUACUCUAGACUGCUUACCGUCAACAAAUAAAGAUAAAAUAAUGACCAUCCUGCUUGUAUAUACAACUAUUAUUUGUAAAGAAGAAAUCUGCAAACUCAACUUUUUUUACUACCUUCCAAAUAGCUAGAUUUUUCUUCUGUACAGGAAAAGACAUUGAUCUACACUGCCAGUCAUUCCUGUUAUUCCUGUCAGACUCAGUAAAAUGAGGGGCUUAAGGUGAGGAUGAUCGUCUUUCAAGAGUCUAAUGAACACUGUGUAUAAGAAUUGAUGUUUGAAAAAGCAAAAACUAAAAUUCAAACCUAAGCUCUUACCUACUAUCUCCAUGCCUCAGAUCUCAUCUAAGUCCAGCAGCACCAUUCAACCAGUUUGAGGCCUUGACUUGUGUUUGAUUCCCAGAGAUGUGCUGAAUUAUAGAAGAUGGAGAUUUUGAUUACCAAAGAAAGUAGUGCCAAUCUUGAACCCUAUUAUUCCCAGGUGUAGGAACAGACACCUAAACAACCUCACGUCUGGACUGAGAAUAUAGCCUUCUGAGCUGAAAAUUCUUAUUGGGCAAAUGAGCAGGAAGGUGAAAGCUGCUGUACCCGACUGGCUAUUUAAGAUCUGAAAAGUGUAUCCAGAAUAAACACUAUGGAUUAAGCCUGGAGUAAUCCAGGUAAAAACUAAUUUACAGAACUUCAAUAUUAAACUACAUGUUCUUCCUUAUACCCUUGUCAUUGCUAUAGCUGGCCCUGCUGAAGGUACCCUACUUACCUAUUUAUCUGACUCAGCCCUUGCCUGCCUUUUUGACACGUUGCUGCAAUCAAACUUGCUGUCCUGGAACAGACUACAACUGAUCUCAGCCUAUCUUAUACCUAAUUCCACCAAGGAGUUUUGAACUGAAGCAGCCUGCACCUCACUCCAUAUUCUCCACAGGAAGGACCGUGCUGUAUACUUUUUGACCAGCAUCAGUGCUUUUUUUUUAAGUGCAGAGUAAGCCUCAGCCUAUAUAUAUUUGAUCAUUUUCAGCACCUGGAGAUCCUCCUACCAGAUCUGAAGGAGUGUAGCAGAUAAAAAGCACUGUCAAUUUCUGUCCUGCAGUAAUACAGAAGUUGAGUCUGAAUCAACAGCAUCAACAGCACAGAAAUGAGAAAUGUUCAACUUGGCGAAAGACUUGAACACAAAAGAUUUCCAGGAAUUUCAAAUUUACCACUGACUUGAAUAGCCUCACAGAACUACUUUCCAUUGGGAGACUAGUCGUCUUGCAUUAUGUCAACUAGAUAAUUGAGCUCUCGGACUCUUAAUACUUAUAUUGAAACUAUGGUAUCAUCCAGAGUAUGUUACUGGACAUGAUUAUUCCAUACAAAUGGAUUAUAAGCUUCUUGACGACAGGACAUACUCAUGAUGUGUGUGUUUUUCAGAAUACUUUUAUCAAGAAAGAAUAAUGCCAGCUGUUACAAUUCAACUUUAUGAGCAGAGAUUAAGCUUUUUCAAUAUCCAGCGUUAUCAUUGAUAUCAGUUAUUUUUAAUUGGCCAGCAUUUAUUCCAUCUCUUCCUAACAACUCCCUGAUGCUUCUUGGAACCAUAUCUCCCUAUUUUCAGUCCACAUAGUCCAGACAGUCUGACCUAACCUUAGGGUUCAUGUGUGGACGUGAAGUUCAGACCUGAUCAAUCGGCAUAGUUCAUCUCCUUGAUCAUAGUGAUUGAUUGGAUUCAGGAAUGGUCAUGUGAUUCAAGUUGAUCCAGUGAUACUCAACCCUAGGAGUUUACUGAACAGUGGAAGAGAAAAAGCUCAGAAACUCUGUAUUUACUGAGGUUGCUUACCUUUGUAGGAUGAACAAGCUCAAACCAGCAGGGUCCACCAUAUAAAAUGAGCCAGUCAGAGAAUGAAGCCAGUGCAGAGGAAAGCGGAGCCAAAUGAUGGAGAGACUUGAGUCCUGAUGACAAUGUGCUCCUAGAUCCAUCCGUGCCUGAAGCGAGUAUAUCCUCUGGAUUUUUCAGUUUUGUGAACCAAUAAAUACCCUUUUGUUUAAGUUA